rnacentral:rRNA from 2 species
AACGCUGGCGGCGUGCCUAAUACAUGCAAGUCGAACGAACUCUGGUAUUGAUUGGUGCUUGCAUCAUGAUUUACAUUUGAGUGAGUGGCGAACUGGUGAGUAACACGUGGGAAACCUGCCCAGAAGCGGGGGAUAACACCUGGAAACAGAUGCUAAUACCGCAUAACAACUUGGACCGCAUGGUCCGAGUUUGAAAGAUGGCUUCGGCUAUCACUUUUGGAUGGUCCCGCGGCGUAUUAGCUAGAUGGUGAGGUAACGGCUCACCAUGGCAAUGAUACGUAGCCGACCUGAGAGGGUAAUCGGCCACAUUGGGACUGAGACACGGCCCAAACUCCUACGGGAGGCAGCAGUAGGGAAUCUUCCACAAUGGACGAAAGUCUGAUGGAGCAACGCCGCGUGAGUGAAGAAGGGUUUCGGCUCGUAAAACUCUGUUGUUAAAGAAGAACAUAUCUGAGAGUAACUGUUCAGGUAUUGACGGUAUUUAACCAGAAAGCCACGGCUAACUACGUGCCAGCAGCCGCGGUAAUACGUAGGUGGCAAGCGUUGUCCGGAUUUAUUGGGCGUAAAGCGAGCGCAGGCGGUUUUUUAAGUCUGAUGUGAAAGCCUUCGGCUCAACCGAAGAAGUGCAUCGGAAACUGGGAAACUUGAGUGCAGAAGAGGACAGUGGAACUCCAUGUGUAGCGGUGAAAUGCGUAGAUAUAUGGAAGAACACCAGUGGCGAAGGCGGCUGUCUGGUCUGUAACUGACGCUGAGGCUCGAAAGUAUGGGUAGCAAACAGGAUUAGAUACCCUGGUAGUCCAUACCGUAAACGAUGAAUGCUAAGUGUUGGAGGGUUUCCGCCCUUCAGUGCUGCAGCUAACGCAUUAAGCAUUCCGCCUGGGGAGUACGGCCGCAAGGCUGAAACUCAAAGGAAUUGACGGGGGCCCGCACAAGCGGUGGAGCAUGUGGUUUAAUUCGAAGCUACGCGAAGAACCUUACCAGGUCUUGACAUACUAUGCAAAUCUAAGAGAUUAGACGUUCCCUUCGGGGACAUGGAUACAGGUGGUGCAUGGUUGUCGUCAGCUCGUGUCGUGAGAUGUUGGGUUAAGUCCCGCAACGAGCGCAACCCUUAUUAUCAGUUGCCAGCAUUAAGUUGGGCACUCUGGUGAGACUGCCGGUGACAAACCGGAGGAAGGUGGGGAUGACGUCAAAUCAUCAUGCCCCUUAUGACCUGGGCUACACACGUGCUACAAUGGAUGGUACAACGAGUUGCGAACUCGCGAGAGUAAGCUAAUCUCUUAAAGCCAUUCUCAGUUCGGAUUGUAGGCUGCAACUCGCCUACAUGAAGUCGGAAUCGCUAGUAAUCGCGGAUCAGCAUGCCGCGGUGAAUACGUUCCCGGGCCUUGUACACACCGCCCGUCACACCAUGAGAGUUUGUAACACCCAAAGUCGGUGGGGUAACCUUUUAGGAACCAGCCGCCUAAGGUGGGACAGAUGAUUAGGGU